UCACGAUAUCGCUCCUUCCAGGAGAUCUUUAGGGAAAACUUAGUUCAGUUUCUAGGAGGUUUUUGCUCAGCUGAAGAUCACUGUGUGAAUAAUAAUGCAGGCAACGUGCUCACAUUUGGAGGGGGAACAAGGUUAAUGGUCAAACCCCAUAUCCAGAACCCUGACCCUGCUGUGUACCAGCUGAGAGACUCUAAAUCCAGCAACUCCUCUGUCUGCCUGUUCACUGAUUUUGAUUCUAAAAUGAAUGUGUCAGAAAGUAAGGAGUCUGAAGUGUACAUCACAGACAAAACUGUGCUAGACAUGAGGUCUACGGACUCCAAGAGCAAUGGUGCCGUGGCCUGGAGCAGCAAUUCCAAUUUUAAAUGCACAGACGCCUUCAACGGCAGCUCUCUUCCAGCAAACACCUUCUUCUCCGGCUCAGAAAGUCUCUGUGAUGCCAGCCUGGUCGAGAAAAGCUUUGAAACAGAUAUGAACCUAAACUUUCAAAACCUGUCAGUGAUUGGGUUCCGAAUCCUCCUCCUGAAAGUGGCCGGCUUUAAUCUGCUCAUGACGCUGCGGCUGUGGUCCAGCUGAGGUCCAAAAGAUUAUAAGAGAGCCUGUGCUCCCUUGUGCCUUCAUCUGCACCUCCUCUCCCUCUCCAAGCAGAGGGAAGGCUCCCACCCCCACGGAGGAGAAAGCUGCUACCACCUCUAUGCGCUUCCCCCCGCAGCAAUGCCACCAACUGCAUCCUAGCCGAACUUGUGAUGAAGACUGCUGAGGAGCUGCCAAACACUGCUGCCACCCCGUUCCCUAUUGUUGCUUGUCACUGUCUGACAUGCACGGCAGAGGCAAGGCUGCGGCAGCCUCCCCUGGCUGUGCAGAGUCCCUCCCACUCCCCAGAGACUGCCUCCGCCAUCCCACAGAUGACGGAUCCUCAGUGGGUUCUCUUGGGCUCUAGGUCCCAGAGAAUGUUGUGAGGGGGUUAUAAUUUUUUAAAUAGUGUUCAUAAAGAAAUAUUAUUAUCAAGGUGUGGAGGAAAUUAAUCCCAUUAUCGGGGCCCUGCUAUGCUGUGUAUCUGGGCGUGUUGUAUAUCCUGCUGCCCAUGGCUUCAUUAAAAAUGACUUGGAAGAGCA